GACCGAACCGUUUAAUUUUCUACACUACAGUAUAAGAAACCAGCCAUACGAAAUGGUUAGUCUAUAAUGAAUAAUGAAAAAACAAAACAGAAAAAAAAAAUCCGACAGAGAACUAGUAUUCAAACAACUGCAACAGCAACGAACUCUGAAAAACAUGAAAUCGCGGAUGGUGGUAAUAUCAACAAAGAACCAUUAAAACCACUCUGUCCAUUGUUGGCCAAAGAUUCGGAAUGGGUUGAUAUUUUACAAAGUAGUACAAACGAUAAAAAAUCCAACAAAAAUAAUGACGAGGAAGUACUACAACACGUAGUGUGAAGAUAGACGACAAAUAGAGCCUCUAGCUUUAAUGUUCCCUGGCUUACUUGAAAAAGACCCUGAAAUGUUAGAAGGAAUGUUAAAUAAGGCUAUGUCAACGACAGAAGUAACUAAAUAUUUGGUUGGUCAAAAAGCUAAUUUCACGUUCAUGAAAAAAGUGAAUCGUCUAAUUCCCACUGACAAGAAAUGGUUGGAAAGUUUAAGCGAAGACAGUUCCUCCUGCUGUUCAAUAGAAUCCAAAUCACACGAUUAGGGUAACCUUUUAAAAUAUAAAGUACAUCUAAGAUUC